rnacentral:misc_RNA from 1 species
AAAUUAAAAAGGAAACUUUCAGGAAAAGAUCUUAAAAGCUUUCCUAAUAAGAGUAGGCCGGGGAAGGUUUUCCGGUUUAUCCCGGAGGGCUUGUAGCUCAGUUGGUUAGAGCGCGCGCUUGAUAAGCGUGAGGUCGGAGGUUCAAGUCCUCCCAGGCCCACCAAUUACUCUAUCAAUUUAGAUGCGCUGGUAUAUUUUACUUGAGAACAGCUUUCCAAAGCCUAUAAAAGUUUAUAGUCGGUAAAAGAAGCCUGUAAAAAACCUAAAAAAUGACUGGUUUUUUCUUACAAAGUCAUGGUUUUAAGAUUGCUUAUCGAUGCAUUUAUAAAUAAAAUUCUUUCCAUCAAGACGGACAGAGCGAAUUAUAAACAUUCAUUAUAGAGCCUUUAUAGUAUAAGAGGUUUAUAGUAUAGAAAUGUUGUAAUAGAGACAUUUCAGUAAUAGAAACAUUUCAAAUGUGUUGUCUCCCUGUUUGCUUUAGGAAAUGCGAGGAUGAGGCGAUUUACAGGAAGGGUGAAGUAGUGUACAAGCUUGUGCUGUUCUCUUUUACCUAUUCUCAGAUUUUGUAGGCGUUUUGCGUCUGUGAAAUUUUGCAUGCAUUAUAAUU